GUUCGGCUUGUGAUUUGUGUAGUAAGUUUUUUUAGUGCAUGUUAAGCAAAUAGUGUUUAUUUUUUAAAGUUCUUUAUAACAGAGGUCACUAAUACAAAUAAAAAAUUACUUGAAUUUAAUUUAAUAGUAAUAUAAAAAGGGAAAUAUGUAUUUUUUAUGGUGUAUUGUGUCAUGUUCUGUUAUCAUGUUAUGAGCCAUUCAUUGUUGGUGAAAUAAAAAUAUAAUUAAUAACGGCAUCUUCAUAUUAACUAGAAUUAUUUUUAUUGUGAUGUUAUUAAAUGUUAAAUUUCUCACUUCUUUUUUGUAAUUAUUUAUUAGUUUUAAACUUUUCCUCCGUCUUAUUCUUUCGUAUAAUAAUAUAUUUUUAUGAACCUAUAUUAUGUAAUAUGUAUUGGGGUAAACUCGAAGUCGUAAGGAUGACUUUAACGUUACGGUAGCGGAGUGCCCAGCUUGGUCUGAGCACCGCCGUGUUCUCAUCGCAGCCAUCGGCGGCGGCGACCUCUCGCGCUCGGCCUUAGUUCAGUCCAUGGUGCGGAGCGUGAGGCACUAGGAAUCCAACUCCUCCUUCUGCGAAGCAGUCAUGCUAGCUAAGGGGGAUGCGGAACGCGUGAGAGACCGGUCCUCCUCACGCCGUAGCCGCCGCAAGGGACAUUUCAGGCGUUGGGAAUCGCGAUCUACAGCCACUGUAAGCGCGGGUCUGCGGACGGCGAGCAAGGGUAGCUUGUCGCCCAAUCAGAACCAGACCUAAGCGUACGGCACAUAUCGUACCGCGCUCCUCAAAGAGCCAUCAGACCACCACAUAUGGGGCCCUAGAGCAGUUGCCAAGCUGGGUUGCGGGUGCAAGCGCAAUGAUGUAUCGCGGCCUGGCUCCGAGCAGGAGAAGAGACCUCCAGAAAACGGUCGACCGUUUUUUAUUUAGGAUAGAACCUACACUCUUCCUUAUGAACUUCUUCCACCCAGAGAAGGGUCGAAGCCUGUUCAAGGAUCAGAUUCGCGCAACUCGAUCUUCAAACUCUGAUCUUUGACCUUGUGUUUAACUUAAAGAUCGUCGAAUGCUCGAAACCUAUGGACCCUGUGGUACUGAAGCCACCCGCUUUUAAUUAACAACUAAGAGAUGGCUCGAUUGUCCGAUUUGUGCCCACACAUGAUAAUUGGUAAUGUUGGCAAAGUCCAAAACUAAUAUCUAUUUGAUGUUGAAAGUUAAUUUAGUUUUUUCAUGUUUUUAUAAUA